ensembl:lncRNA
AUGCAACUGUUCAGGGAAGUCAGGAACCAAUGCAAGCAGUCAGUCAGGAAAGCAAAGGCCAGCUUCUUCAGGCAGAAAUUUGCAUCCUGUAGCUCUAACUCCAAAAAGUUCUGGGACACUGUAAAGUCCAUGGAGAACAAGAGCACCUCCUCCCAGCUGCCCACUCCACUGAGGCUAGGUAACACAGUCACCACCGAUAAAUCCAUGAUUAUUGAAAACUUCAACAAGCAUUUCUCAACGGCUGGCCAUGCCUUCCUCCUGGCUACUCCAAACUCGGCCAACAGCUCCACCCUGGAUGGCAUCACCACCCUGGAUGGUUCCGACCUAGAAUAUGUGGACAUCUAUAAGUACCUAGGUGUCUGGCUAGACUGUAAACUCUCCUUCCAGAGUCAUAUCAAACAUCUCCAAUCUAAAAUCAAAUCUAGAGUCGGCUUUCUAUUCCGCAACAAAGCCUCCUUCACUCACGCCGCCAAACUUGCCCUAGUAAAACUGACUAUCCUACCGAUCCUCGACUUCGGCGAUGUCAUCUACAAAAUAGCUUCCAAUACUCUACUCAGCAAACUGGAUGCAGUUUAUCACAGUGCCAUCCGUUUUGUUACUAAAGCACCUUAUACCACCCACCACUGCGACCUGUAUGCUCUAGUCGGCUGGCCCUCGCUACAUAUUCGUCGCCAGACCCACUGGCUCCAGGUCAUCUACAAGUCCAUGCUAGGUAAAGCUCCGCCUUAUCUCAGUUCACUGGUCACGAUGGCAACACCCACCCAUAGCACGCGCUCCAGCAGGUGCAUCUCACUGAUCAUCCCUAAAGCCAACACCUCAUUUGGCCGCCUUUCGUUCCAGUUCUCUGCUGCCUGUGACUGGAACGAAUUGCAAAAAUCGCUGAAGUUGGAGACUUUUAUCUCCCUCACCAACUUCAAACAUCUGCUAUCUGAGCAGCUAACCGAUCGCUGCAGCUGUAAUAGUCUAUCUGUAAAUAGCCCACCCAAUUUUACCUACCUCAUCCCCAUACUGUUUAUAUUUAUUUACUUUUCUGCUCUUUUGCACACCAGUAUCUCUACAUGUACAUGA